rnacentral:rRNA from 1 species
GGACGACCAGCUUGCUGGUCUGAUCAGUGGCGAACGGGUGAGUAACACGUGAGCAACCUACCCUUCACUCUGGGAUAAGCCUUGGAAACGGGGUCUAAUACCGGAUACGAGACGCACGGGCAUCUGUAGCGUCUGGAAAGAUUUAUCGGUGGGGGAUGGGCUCGCGGCCUAUCAGCUUGUUGGUGGGGUAAUGGCCUACCAAGGCGACGACGGGUAGCCGGCCUGAGAGGGCGACCGGCCACACUGGGACUGAGACACGGCCCAGACUCCUACGGGAGGCAGCAGUGGGGAAUAUUGCACAAUGGGCGCAAGCCUGAUGCAGCGACGCCGCGUGCGGGAUGACGGCCUUCGGGUUGUAAACCGCUUUCAGCAGGGAAGAAGCGCAAGUGACGGUACCUGCAGAAGAAGCGCCGGCUAACUACGUGCCAGCAGCCGCGGUAAUACGUAGGGCGCAAGCGUUGUCCGGAAUUAUUGGGCGUAAAGAGCUCGUAGGCGGUUUGUCGCGUCUGCUGUGAAAACCUCAGGCUCAACCUGGGGCUUGCAGUGGGUACGGGCAGACUAGAGUGCGGUAGGGGUGACUGGAAUUCCUGGUGUAGCGGUGGAAUGCGCAGAUAUCAGGAGGAACACCGAUGGCGAAGGCAGGUCACUGGGCCGCAACUGACGCUGAGGAGCGAAAGCAUGGGGAGCGAACAGGAUUAGAUACCCUGGUAGUCCAUGCCGUAAACGUUGGGCACUAGGUGUGGGGUCCAUUCCACGGAUUCCGUGCCGCAGCAAACGCAUUAAGUGCCCCGCCUGGGGAGUAC